rnacentral:misc_RNA from 1 species
GGGGAACAGGACUGGGCAGCCAUAUAUUUUGCAAACAAAUGUGUUCACAGGAGGUAAAGGAGACAGAGAGCAGCGGAUUUACCUCUGGUUUGAUCCAACCAAACAAUACCACUCCUACUCUGUACUCUGGAAUUUGUAUCAGAUUGUGUUCUUGGUGGAUGACGUCCCAAUAAGGGUUUUCAAGAACUGCAAAGACUUGGGAGUAAAAUUUCCGUUCAACCAACCCAUGAAGUUAUACUCGAGUUUGUGGAACGCGGAUGAUUGGGCCACCAGAGGUGGACUGGAGAAGACGGACUGGUCCAAGGCUCCUUUUAUAGCCUCCUACAAGGGUUUCCACAUUGAUGGGUGUGAGGCAUCCGUGGAAGCCAAGUUCUGUGCCACCCAAGGGAAGCGAUGGUGGGAUCAGAAAGAGUUUCAGGAUCUGGAUGCCUUCCAGUACAGAAGGCUCAAGUGGGUCCGUCAGAAGUUCACCAUCUACAACUACUGCACUGAUAGAAAAAGAUACCCUACGCUUCCGCCUGAAUGCAAGAGGGACAGGGACAUAUAAAUUCCAUUAUUGGGAGACAUUGAGCGUGAUUUUAUGAGUUCAUGUGCCGCAGUGAUCAUCUCCUACAUACCCUAUUUAUUAUGGUUUGCUAUAAUUAUCUCC